GAUGAAGAACGUAGCGAAAUGCGAUAAGUAGUGUGAAUUGCAGAAUUCAGUGAAUCAUCGAAUCUUUGAACGCAUAUUGCGCCCGCCAGUAUUCUGGCGGGCAUGCCUGUUCGAGCGUCAUUUCAACCCUCAGGUCUUAGUCUGCCUGGCGUUGGGGUGCUGCGGCCCGGCCGCAGGCCCUCAAAUUCAGCGGCGGACCCGCCGCGGCCCUGAGCGCAGUAGUUAAAACUUUUACUCCAACGCUCCGGCGGCUGCGGCGCGGUCUUGUCGUCUCUUGACCAAUAUAGCGCCAACGCGCAACCAAAGUUGACCUCGGAUCAGGUAGGACUACCCGCUGAACUUAAGCAUAUCAAUAAGCGGAGGA
rnacentral:misc_RNA from 1 species